UUUACUUUUGUGUGGGGGAGAAGAAGGGCCAGUGCUGUCAUUGUGCUAUAGCAGCACUAAAAGAGUAGGCAUAUUUCGGAGUAACACCAUGGGCACAUUAAAAGAUGCCUCUUGCAAGGAGCCCGUUAUCUGUUCAUUGCGGUCUGUGCUCCCACCCCUGUUCAUUUAAGCUCAGAAGAUGCAUGAGAGCUUCUUUAUCUGAGCAGCUUGUUGCACUAUCCUUUCUGAUCUGAAAAGCAAAAUUUGGUAGCUGGGUCAAUGGCCAAUUCCAGGUGGAGAAGAGGGGCAGCCUUUUCCUUCUCCUCCUGACAAGAUAAUUGGCAAAAGCUCUGUCAUGGUCUAUGCCCUGAAUUUUCUUCUUCUUUCUACUGCUUCCAAAAGUUUUAAUGCUCAUAUGUGACCACUGGCCUGAUUCUGGUACAGAAAAGGAACAGUGUUUUUGCCCUGUGGAAUAGUGUGGAUCAGCACAUCACAAGUUUUAUUAUGGUCAAAGAUACAUUAAUAAUUCUUUAUGCCCAUAAAAUAGAUUGAAAUCUCCAGAAAAAGAUUCAGCGGAAAAAUAAGCUGCUGCUCUAAGUCAUGUCUUAAUUUGUCACUAAUAUUCAGCUUUUGAUUUCACUAAUAAUUCUGAAAUGAGAUUCUUUAAUUCCAACUCAGAUUUAAGGCUUGUGAACACUGCAGAUAUGGUAGAAGAUAAGUCUAGCACGGGAGUCAGUGAAUGCAGACCUGCUUUCUGCAUCAUUGUGCUCUGGGAACAAAAGAAAGGUUGGUUAAUCAUUUCACCUUUGAGAGAAUUCCAGGAAUCUUCAGCACUCCAUCUCAGGAAUCUUAUAACUCCACAGGCUCUAGCUAAUCUGCAGUGAAGCGUAUCUAGUGCCCCGGGGAUUUCAUUUCUGAAGUGACAUAUUUGUACUUUGGGGAGAUCUCUGAAAGAGACCCAUCAGGAUGUGAUUUGGAAGUUUGAAUUCGAGGCAGUAAUUCAAGGACUAUUUUGAAUUUGCAGACUCAGUAUCUAUUCGUUGCCAGCUAAACCUUAGAAGUUACGACUACCGGUGUUGUGUGAUAUACGGAGGUCUGAUUCCCCAUCACGAGCACACUGUGCCUGAUAUCCAGAAUAAAGAAGGUCUUGGGGGGUGAAUGCUGAGCAUUCUUUGCACUGAAGGCUAUUGGACCUCCCACCUUUGAUUAUUACAAGAAUUCCUUUGCAGGUAAUAAUGCAGUAUUUUAGCGCUCAGAAAAAUCCUUUUCCUUUCCUUCUUGCCUUUCAUUAAAAUCAUUUUUCCCCCUUAACUUUCCCUUCUAAAUAUAUCUUUUGUAAUAGCAAGGUAUUCACUGGCAAUUCCAGCAAAUAGGAUGUCUGGUGGAAAAGCAUACAGAAACCGUAGCCAGUUGCUAGUGAGACUUAGAAUGAAAGAUCUAAAAACUGCCCACAUUCCACAAGCUCCAGGGCUCCUUUAAAACUGAAAUUGCUUCAAGUACGAGAACUAUUCCCACACCGCAGAAAAUAAAUGACUGAAUGUUUGCUGCCUACAUCCGACAUUCAGAUUGCUAUGGGAUGACAGUAAAGGAAAAUUUUUUUCAGCUGAAACUAGAAACUGUAUGGCCAGUCGGCGAGGCUGAAGGCAUGCAGGCUGUUCCAGAUGGCAAAGCUGUACAGAAGAAAUAUUUGGCAUGGGUAGCAGAGUGACCAAACUGCCUGGAAAGAAGGCCAUGGUUAGAUGGGUCAAAAAUUACAGGGCAGAAUGGAUCGAGUCAAGGGGAGGGAGAUUGAACUAUAUUUUGAAAUUCCUGGAGAGCCAUAAGGACUGUGCAAGGACAGUGGUGACGCCACCUUUCACACACAAAGGCUCAUCUUGAGUCACUAGGGGAUUAGAAAAAGCUGGAAUUUGAGGAAAUGAUUGCCCAGGCAGUCCUUUCUGUCUAGAGAAGGUAGAGAGGAACAGGCGCUAAUGGGUCUGGGGUGGAUCCGGGCCUGGGAAGAAGGAAUUAAAAAUAGCAGAAUAUAAGAUCAGAAAACAUUUGGAGGAAGGAAAAGGAAAGAGAAAAGAAACAGCCAGAAUGAGAAGUGGAAAUGAGUCAGGAGGGAGGAAGAGAGCACAAAUGGGAAGAAAUCUGGGCUUAUAAAGGAAAGGCAGUCUCUGGAAUGGAAAAGGAGAGCUAAGGAGAGUUGGUCUUAACAAAACAAUGGUGAGAAGCAGUGCCAAGAACAUGCCCAUUCUUCCAUUAGAAAAUUUGGAAUUGUGAUUUAUUUUUUCUUUGCUAAUUCGGCUGCUGUAGGUGAGUUAAGAAACAAACAAACAAAAAAGUGGAGGAAGAAAGCAAAGAAAUAGAAAAGGGAAGCCUUCAACAAGAAAGGGGAGAAAAGUGAGCGCGCUACGACGUGCAUACCUGGGAGAGCUGGAACCAGUGGUCUCCUUAUAGAAAAGAAAAAGAAGGCAUGUGAAGAAGGAAGAAGACAGGUUCUUGUUAUCAGUACAGACUGGCCAGGAUUAAUUGGCAGAAAAGUCUGGCAGGUGAUGCAGAUGGACUCUGUGUUUUGCUGUUUGUGCUUUUUUCUCCAAGCAGAACAUAGAAACUCCCCCCGGUCCCUUCCCCGCCACUGCAGACCAGAAACAUCUUGCAAAGAAGUUCUCCAGAAAACUCACACAUGAAGUCCUAGAAUAUAUUUUUAUAUCAACAUUGCUAUUGUUACAAAGCCAAAGAUAAAGGUGCAAAACAAAAAGCAAACCCCUUUGCAACCCACAAUAAACAUACCAUGCAUUUAUGGGUGUUUUAAGUGGAAAGGAAUGAAGUUCAGCGCCUGGGUAAUUUGCACUUUGCACAGAACAUCUGUUUUAUGAUUCUUUCUCUCACUUAUUAUAUGGAGCAGACUGUGUGUAAACACUGUGUGUCCUGGCCCCAGGCUACACCCUGCAUCUUCAUUCGUCCCAGUCUCCAGAUUUGACCGAGUUCCUUGGAAACCCAGCAGGGCCUGCUAGGAGAAGUGAGUUAAACCCUGGCUCCUUGCUGUAGCCCUGCUGCUGACCUCUCCGCGUGCGGGGAGAAGAAGCCACGCUGACCCUUGCCACCCUCGCAAGCUGCUUGGACUUUGGGAGAGGGGACGGCUGUGAAUAAUGCCAGCGAUGCCCGGGAGUGCUGAAAGGCAGCAUGACUCCUCUGAAGCUUGACACAGGCUGCCGGUCAGCCGUGGCCAACUAAUUGUGCCCCGGCACCUUUUGAAAUGAUGGGGGAAAGCAGCUGAAAGGGCCUCUUCAAAGCCGACCGAGUCCCCGGAGGCUGAAGGUGCAGCACGGUGUUUGUUUGUGAAAGUCGGGCGCGUCUGGCUGCCCGGCCGUGUUCAGCCGAAUGGCUGGCUGCGUAUAUUUAGCAGCAGCUCUGACUCCUCACUGAACUCAGCCCCUGUAAUUAACACAUUCGCUCCUGCUCUUUGCUGCAGGGAGCCAGGAGGACCCAGGGGGAAAACAGCAUUUGUGAGCGGGCUCGGAGCAGCCAGCCCCACUGGCCCUGCAGAGCCUCGGAGCAGCGCUUGCAAGCACAGGAGCCGCCUGGCUGAGGGGACCUCAAGCUUUGGGGUGCCAGUCCCGAGCACUGCCCUGGCACGGAUGCUGUCCUCAUGGGAAGCCUGCAGCGGGUGGCUCUCGCUUGCUUCUUCGUCCCCAGGCUAGGGAUGCUGCUGCUGCACAGCACUGCUAGGCGAGGAGCUGGACGCGGACACCUGCCCGGCCUCACCCACGCCUUCCUCAUCUUCUGCAGGCUCUCUCUGCUUAGUUCCUCCCCUGAUUGUUCAGACAGGGCCCAGAUAGGAAUCAAACAUCCCGAUUCAGUCUAAUUCCAAACACUAGCUGUGUUUACCCCUAAUUUUAUAGCUCUUCCCCCAAGCCAAGAGCCAAACCGAGAAAAAAACACAGUGAAGCUGAAGAGCGCCGUGCUGCAACAAAGCACUGGCAACAGGCAGGCCCAAGCAAAUACAGCGGUAAGUGCACGUAACGUGGCACUUUUACCUUGUGUUUUGGUGCAAAAGCACACAGCUGAGCAAAUCCAGCUUCUUCAUGUGGGAGGGAGCCGGUGCCAGCCCCGCAGCCUGGUGGCACCGAGCACACGGGAUGCACUGGGUGCUGCAGGGGUGGGAAGAGUCAGGCCCAAGGAACUGGAGCGGAGUCAUCGCUCCCGGGGUAAAUACGCAGGCAGUUCUGCAGCUGACCUGGUAGCAGCGCCAGUGAAGCUAAAUCAGGUCUGCUUGCCUGGCCCGACAUGAAUGUGGUCAUAUUUCUAAGAAAUCCGAGUAGCUGGAUCCUCAGAAAUGCUCAAAACACCCAUAAUUUAAACAUGUUAGAGCUGGAGGAUGCUUGUCCAUGCGCUAGUGAGAAAAGGAGCAAGCCAAAGUGAGUUCAGCACCAAUUUUUAUAAACUAGACUGGAAAAUGUUUUAAGACAACUCAGGAACAUGCUUUACUGCUGCUUUGCAUGAAGAUAAAAUUUGCAAGAUGCUGAAUACAGCAAGGGUCCUGCAUUUUUGCCCUGUUUUCUGGGAUUUUGAAAGGGCGGGUUUGCUCCCUGGGCCAGGCAGGGCAGAGGCUCAUUUCCUGCUGCAUGAACCACAGCUGCAAAGGGGCUUUGGAGAACGAGAAGGUUGCAUCAGAGCCAAUUUCGGGAGAACAGAGAGGAGGGAGAAGACAAAAAGGAAAGCAAGCAAGCAGAAUAAAUCCGAAUGUAACAAAAUUAUAGUCUGUAUUGAAAACUCAACAUUUGGAAUCGAUUUUUUCCAUCAGACUAAAGGCCAAGACUUUCGCUGUUGAAAUAUUGGUCUGUUUUUAAACUUGUGCUAAAUGUCAUAUCUAGACAAGCUGCAGGUGAAACACCAGGAAGAAAGAACUGAUGCCAUCCGAAAACAUUUUACUGUCAAGUUUAAUGUGAUGCUCUUGCUUUGCUUGCUUUGUUUUCUUGUUUCCUGCCGUGUACGUGGUGCAGGUUUCCUACGUUCCAUCAGGUGGCUCAGGUUCCCUUAAUUUUCUGGCUGCCUCCCAUUCCUAUCUCCCCCUCCCUUCUCUUUUAGGGAGCAAAAGCCCGUCUCCCUUGUGGCAUAACAUUAGCACCAAAGUUUCAGCUUAAUUAUGUAUGCAGGGGAGAAGAGUUUUAUUUGCAUCCUGUAAAUGUGCAUGAAGCUGGAAACAAACAAAGCUGCAGCACCUUUAUGAAAACGUCUUGCCUGUGAUCAGAGCUCCUUCUGCUCCGUUUUAGCAUGGGCUUUCAAUUGUUUCACUCUAGUUCUCCUUUCUCCAUUGUCUUUCUUCAGAGCACUAUUGCUUUCCUAUCUGGCAUUUUCCUCACUGUCCCCAAGCAACCUCUUUUACUUGCUCUCUCCUACAAUAACCCCAUUCCUCAUUAUUGUUUCCAUUCCCUUUUUUUGUUCUUUCACUUGAUCAAGGCCUGGGGGCCCCAGCUCGGUGCUGGGGGCUCCACGUUCAGCCUCAGCACUCAGCCGACACCUCGGAGCUGGAGCGCUGUCCCCUGCGCGUCGGCUCGCGCUGGGUGCCAUCGCAGGAGAGGCUCGCCAUGCUCUCCGACGAGCAUUGUAUAUCUGCUUUGCAGGAGCAGACGUAAUCUAUCAAAGCAGCAAUGAAUCAGGUCUUUGAUGCAAAUAAGAAGCAGCCACAUGGCACAAAGCAUUUGGGAGCACUUCAGGCUAAAAAGGAAAAAAAAAAAAGAAAAAACAGAAAAAGAAAAAGAUGCAGCUGUGAAGAAUACAAAUAUUGGCUCCUCAAGGAACCCUCCAUAUUGUAUCCAUUAUUACAAUCUACUUAUUUGUUCAGGGCUAAUGCUCUCCAUUUUGAGAUUGUCAUGGAUCUGCUUUCCCAUCCUCAGGGAAGGUCUAUGUGGCAUUCGUCUGCAGGAGGUGGCUGCAGAAGAAGCCCUUCUCCCCUUGUCUGGCUGGCAGAGCUGAUAGCUGUGUGAGAGAACCUGCUAUUAAAAUGAAUAAGGACCCUUUUCUGCAUGAGAAAGAAGAAAAAAAAUUGGCUUGUUCCCACCUUUCCCAUCUUCUCUUGCUAUGAAAAAAAUCUGAGCUGCCUUUCUCGCAGCAGCUAUUGUGAGUGCCUUGUAAUGGAGCCUGCUGGAGGUGUGGACUGUUAUAGCCCUCAUGAAAGCUUCUCUGCAGAAAUGUGAAGCGCUGGCUUUGCUGAGUUCCCUGUACAUUUGGUGUUCUGGCAAGGGCUGCCCACGUGGCUCUGCAGCCUGCGAGCAAGGCCCCGAGCAGCUGAGAACUGAGGUUAUCUCCUGCAGCCCAAUGUGGGUCUGUCGCUGAGAUGCCAGCCGAGAGCUUUCCCAUCAUCUAUGGGAAAGGCAGAAGAGAGAAGGCGAAGCUCGAAGCUGCGGCCGUGCACGGAGUCACUGCGGUGCUCAGCGUGCUCGGCCCCAGGUCCGCUCCGUGGAUUCAGGAGAAACAUUUCAACCUUUGUGUCCUGCCUGAGGAACGAGCCACCUGAACAAUGCUUUGGCAAAAUAAAGGGAUUGUUAAGGA